UAUAUUUAGGUGUAAGAGGCACAAAAAUUUUUGAAAUUUUAGGGGAUAGUUUAAUUCUAUUGAAUAUAA
rnacentral:tRNA from 1 species